GCAUAUUAAUCAGCGGAAGAA
rnacentral:rRNA from 1 species